rnacentral:rRNA from 1 species
CAGCAGCCACGGUAAUACGAAGGGGGCUAGCGUUGCUCGGAAUGACUGGGCGUAAAGGGCGCGUAGGCGGCGAUCAAAGUCAGGCGUGAAAUUCCUGGGCUCAACCUGGGGGCUGCGUUUGAUACUUGAUUGCUAGAGUGGGGAAGAGGGUCGUGGAAUUCCCAGUGUAGAGGUGAAAUUCGUAGAUAUUCGGAGGAACACCAGUGGCGAAGGCGGCUCACUGGUCCAUUACUGACGCUGAGGUGCGAAAGCGUGGGGAGCAAACAGGAUUAGAUACCCCCGUAGUCCCUGUCUCUUAUAC